rnacentral:rRNA from 1 species
AAUAUUGGUCAAUGGGGGAAACCCUGAACCAGCAAUGCCGCGUGAGCGACGAAGGCCNNNGGGUUNUCACGCUCUGUCCUUGGNGACNAUAAUGACGGUACCCAAGAAGAAAGCCACGGCUAACUACGUGCCAGCAGCCGCGGUAAUACGUAGGUGGCAAGCGUUGUCCGGAAUUACUGGGCGUAAAGGGCGAGUAGGCGGCCAGUUGUGUCAGAUGUGAAAGGCUAGGGCUCAACCCUAACAGUGCAUUUGAAACUGACUGGCUUGAGUGUAGGAGAGGGAAGCGGAAUUCCUAAUGUAGCGGUGAAAUGCGUAGAUAUUAGGAGGAACACCAGUGGCGAAGGCGGCUUCCUGGCCUAUAACUGACGCUGAGGCGCGAAAGCGUGGGGAGCAAAC